GUUCUCUAUCAGCCUGGAGGCUAUACUCUAGGGUUCAUGGCAUACACUCCCACGCCCCUCGACCACAUGAACACAGUGGGUCAUGGGAUCCUCGAUCCCCCGCACUUGCACAUGUCCCAGCUGGAGCCCUCAGGGAUGAGACCAAGUGACCCUGUGCCCAACACCUACGAUGGAUUAAAUCCUGCGGAUCAGGAGGAUUGCUUCAGGCAGCAGCUCAACUCUGUCACCGAAGGGAUCGAAACCAUUAUGGUGAAUGCACAUUCGGUGGCUGAGUGUGAAGAAAUGAGACUCAAGAAAGAGUUGAGUCUAGUCAUGAAUGGAAUUGAAGUAAAGCGCAAAGAGAUGGAGGAGAGAGUACCUGCACAGAGGCCCUCAUACCUAUGGUUCUGACAUUGUGGCUCAUCCGAUCACCACCAUUUCCAUCUCAACAGCCCAUCCAUGACUGCUUCUUGAAUAUCACACUUGAGAAAUCAAGCAGGUCUCUGUCAGAGGAAGAGGAAGACAAAGAUCUUGGAGAUUUUGAGAAGAAUUGGAAGUUUGAUUUUGAUGAAGGUGAAAAGGAAUAAUUCAGGAUAGAAUGACCACGAGGGAAUUUUGCAAUUUUAUACAAAGAGAUAACAG
rnacentral:misc_RNA from 1 species